CGCCAGCGAUAAAUUGGUAUCGCUGAAGGGCCAAUCGGGGCCAGAGAU
rnacentral:ncRNA from 12 species